AUAUGCAAAUACACUGUAAUAAAUGUUAUAAUAUUCAUAAUGUUAAAAUCCUAUAUACAUUUUAACUGUAAAGUUAUGUAACACCUCACUUUUCUUCAAAAAGGGAUGGAAAAAAUAAGGCUUAACUCAUAGAAUUAUUUUGAGAUAAAAUGAUAUAAAAGUUCAUAUAAUAACUUAUUCAGAGAGCAUCAGUUAUCAUUGAAAUAUAUAUUAGGUUGUUUUUAUUAGCAUUUUUAAAUAUAGGUCUCAUUUGUAUGUUUUAUACAGAUUUUAGUUAAAUUUGUAAGUAAAAUUUUUGUCAAUCCCACAUUUUCAAUUUCUUUCAGCCAUGUCUUGAAUAUAUAUACACGAAAAAUCCUUAUUUUCUUUACUAGUGAAGAAUAUAGGAAAAAAUGAAAUAAUAUUGGAAGUAAUUUUUUAAAAUGAUCACUGUCCCCAGGAAGGCAGCAUUUUGCAAUAAAAAAUAAUAUUCACUAGAAAAUACAUUUUUGUUAAGUAGGAGAGUCAUCUUGGGCAAGUCACUAGUAUAACUCUCUGUAAAAAUAAGAAGUGAAUGACUUAGAUAUUCUUUAAGUGUUAUGAUUCUAAGAAUCCCACAAUAUAAAUGGAAUGGCUGAAUUUAUUACGUGUUACAAAAAAUUUAAGGAAAAUUUGCCAAGCAAACUAAAGCAAGCAUAUUUAAAUUAUAGAAGCAAAUGAGAUUAUGUUUAACUGUUCAUGAAGCUUUACUUUAAAAAAAAGUUAAGAAUGGUCUUCUUUCCAAAAAUGAAUGCAUUCAUUCUUGAGAUGAAUUAUAAUUUUGUAACAGCUCUGUUGUCUUAUCUACUCUGGGUUCAAAGCCAUGUUCUGGUUCUCUUUAGAGAACACAAUAUUUUGGAAUUUAUCCCAGCUAAUAAUCAAUGCAAGACCCUGUGGCAAAAACUCAACACAGAUGCUUAGAUAGAUGCUGAUCUUGUGAUAACUGCAGAAUUUCACUAACUCUGGUUUAGCUUCUAAUAAAUGAAUGCUGGGAUAGUUUAACAUACAGGGGCUGGAAGUAGGUAGAGGAGAUGGCCGCAACAGAUGUCAGGAACGAUAAAUGCUAAAAACCUGGAAUGUAGUUGUUGAUGGUCUGAGAUAAUGCCCCAGCAUAGUGAGUCCCAGAAACUGUCAGACAAAUAUCAAAGUGAUAAUGAUCACUUCUAUGUUUUUAUGCAACUAGGAAAAAAUUUCUUUGCACAGGAACUGCAGAUGUAUAUAAGUAGCAUGUUGUGAGAAAGUCAUUUUCAAAGGCUAGUGAUUUGUGAUUUUGUGAUAACUAUUAAUGCACUUUUGUGAUAGAGUUUAUAUUUUAUACCAGAGGAUAUGAUCCUGGCUGAACAUUGCCCUGAGAUCAAGAGUUUAUAACUUUGUUAAACAUUUUCAGUUUAAUCUCAUUGUAUCACCUAAUUUUUCUCACUAAAUCUCCUUUUUGGAUACUUGUUUGUAAGAGCCUGGAGGACAGAGACCAGUGCUCUAUUCUUUCUAUAUUUUCAUAGCCUAUAAAAUGCCUAGAAGAGUAAUUAGUAUAUGAUUAAGUUCAUGCUGAUAAAGCUUUGUAUUUAACAAUGUUCUCUAAUACAUUUUAUACCUAUUUAUUAUAAUAGUCUCAUAGUGAAAACAAAACAGAUAUUAGUUUUAUAUAGGAAAAAGAUACUGAAGUUCACAGAUUUUAAAUGAUUUGUUUGAGGUCAACAGCUCCUAAAUGAUCUAACUAGUAUUUAAGUCUCUUUCUCUUCUUUGUCAACAUAAAGCUUUUGUCAUCAUAUCACCAUGAUUUUCCCCAUUUCAGCAUGUGUGGUAACUUAGAAACCCUAAAUGGUUUCCUCUCUGACAUGACAGGGAGGUGAGCCAGAAUGAAACCCUAUGACUAAUCUAAAGUUUAUUGUAUUAUGGGGUUAGGAGAAAAGCUAUACUGAACAUCAAAGGUUCAUGUUAUGCAAGCCUAUGACUAAUUAAAAAUAUCAUAUUAUGGGGUUAGGAGAAAAGCUAUAUUGAACAUCAAACUAUUCCCAUUUAUAAGUCAUUCUAUUGAACACUUGUAAGUAGGAAUAUGGUUUAUCUCGGGAGAGCCCACCUAAAGAGAUUUCUGUCUUAAUUUAUGUCAGUUCCUUUGGACAUUAAAAAAGGUAAUGUAGAAGGAGGAUAUUAGGGAAGAAGUUAAGGGAAAUUAAGUGUGAGGAAGUCUUGACAGCAUGAGAAGAAAUGCUCUGUUAGUAAAAAUAGUGAAGAAAUAAAAAGAAAUCAGAUUGUAUUUAUUGGACUAAGAAAUAAACUAGCUUUUUCCUUAGAGAUAGGAAACAAGUUACUUCUCCUGGAUAGGUGUUCUGUCUUCAUUUGUAAAAUGGGUAUAGCAAUAUGGUGGCUGUCGGGUUAGAAUGCUGAACUCUAACCACUUGAUAUAGGUUCAUAGAACUUUGUCGCUUUGGAGCCAAGAGACUGAGGGUAGUGAGACCAUUAAGUGUUUGUUUAAAAAGAGAAGAGAGAGAAGAUAAGUUAGGAGAAAGCACAGGUGGGUGGGGGUGGGGAGAAAAAGCAAGAGAGGAAAGAAAGAGGAAGAGAGAAACAUGUGCUUUGGAGGUCCUUUAAAUCACUUGUCUGGGGGGCGGUCCUUCUAGACUUCCUCUGGUGGAUUUUCUUGCUUGUCUGUCUUUGGCCUGAUUUGGGUCCCUGCCCUCAGGAUGGAUUCUAGCACAAGGGUCUCUGGGAAGUUGACAGGAUGUACUGUGGUCUGGUGCACUGAGGAACCUUUCUGCUAGUGUGUAGUUCUAGAGGUCUCCUUGACCUCAAAAAUGAGAAGUAGAUGGUCUCUGUCUUAUAUAAGCAGGAUGCAGCUUUUAUCUUGAAGUUAUCUGUCCGCAGGUAAUAGAUUACAGUUGCCCAGCCUGGGACCCAUCUAUAUCCUGCUUAAAAAUUUCUUCUUGUACUAAGUGGAAAGGCUGACUCUAUUUUAGAUAUAUUUAACCUAUAUAUUUUAGAUAUAUUUAACCUAUAUUUAGGUAUUGACUCCCUGAAGUUUAAAUAAGACUAAUAUUAGCCAUUUUGUUAUUUUUUUAAAUGAUACCCAAAAUAAUCUUGUAAUAGUUGGGAUAAUCUCAAUGAUAGUAUACUUAGUUUAUAUAACUAAUUCCUCUUUCGUGGUGGCUAACACAAUCUGUGUUCCCAUGAAUGUCAUUCUGUUCUGGCAAACUUCCAAAAAUUUACUUUUGGGUCCACAGGGUAAGCCAAAAUUGCUUGGACACUCCUGAAUUUACUUAUCUACUUAGUUACCUCAUAAAAGAGCAAAUCUCUGUAAUGACUCUAUUACAGAACUAUUUAGUACAGAGUAGUUUAGUACUGAAGCAUAAAGUCUGGAAGAAUCUACAAAACCUAGAGUUAUGGGCAUGUCAUUUUUAGCUCUAAUUAUAUGCAGGAUUAUGCAAGAUAUCACAGUUUGUCUUCAUCACCUUUCCUUUUGAUAAAUCUUCUCUUUACUUACUGUACUCCUUCCUAGGCUUUUCUGCCUCCUCUUUGGAAUUCUGGAGUCCUGCCUGUGCCUGAAUGUCCUUGGUUCUUUUUGUUCUUUCUCUAUCAGACCUAUUAAAAUGUUGUAAAUGACAGCUUAAUCAUUAAAUUCUUAUGAAAAUAUUAACUUUAUGUUCCCUAUCCAAACCUAAUUGAUAUGUUUCUCUUCCAUUGUAAACUGCCAAUUAAUGAAAGUUUUGGUGAGAUAAUUCAUGCUAACAUCUUUAUAGUUAUUCAUAGGUGAAUGUGUAACCUUUAGAGCAAUACUUAGACUUAAGUAUUGUUACCAAACUCCAACUAACAGUGAGAUUUCUUAUAUUAACACAUAUUGGGCUUUGGGAAGGGGGUACUUCCAUAUAUUAGCAUAUAUUCCAAGCAUCCCUCAAGCACACUGUCUUGGCUAAUCACCUACUGCAGCCUUCCUGUAAAGCCAACCCUUCCCCCAGCCCUAAGAUGACCAUUAGAGAGCCCAGCUGCUGCUAGACUACCAGGCAUGCAGCCAGUUGGCUAUAAGCCUGCAGAUUUCAGUGCCAGAAUGUCACAGGAUCCUCUGGCACUUGUUUGGUAAAGUGUAGACCAGGAUUACCUGAAAUAUCUGCUUUCUUUCCUUACAAAAAUGUGCCAUGAGAAUAAAUGAGAUAAUUGAGGAGAAGCACUUUGAGAUCCUAGAAAGAAAAUGCUUGCUAUUAUUCAGGUUAUUGUUGUUUUUAGUAUUAUUAAUAAAUACUACAUUGAAGUUGACCUAAAGGUGAGAUCUGACAUUUUACUAUAGCUACUAUUUGGACAUAAAGCUUCUGCAAAAUUGGUUGCAGUUUGCUUCCGUACUGCCAAGAUGUGGUGAAAUCUCUCAUUUUAUUGAAUUCCAAGGCUGUCCUUUCCAAGUCUAUUUGUAAUGUAAACACUUUGCUUUGUAAAUAAGCAACAUUUUUCAUUGUUGACAUGUUGUAAUUUCUAAUAGAAAUGUAAGCUAAAUUGAUGAAUUCAUUAGAAGGCAUAUUCUAAGGUGAUGCUCAUUUAUUUUCAAGGGAAGAAUACUACAUGAAUGCCUAGUUUGUUUCUAUUUUUGUUUUCAUGCUGUGUAAAACAAUGAAGAAACCUCAAAUAGCCAAAGGGGGGAAAAUAGGCGAUUAGGAGCCGUGACUUGGAG
rnacentral:lncRNA from 1 species